rnacentral:rRNA from 1 species
UACGGGGGGGGCAAGCGUUGUUCGGAAUUACUGGGCGUAAAGGGCUCGUAGGUGGCCAACUAAGUCGGACGUGAAAUCCCUCGGCUUAACCGGGGAACUGCGUCCGAUACUGGUUGGCUUGAGUUUGGGAGAGGGAUGCGGAAUUCCAGGUGUAGCGGUGAAAUUCGUAGAUAUCGGGAGGAACACCGGUGGCGAAGGCGGCGACCUGGGUAGAUACUGACGCUGAGGUGCGAAAGCGUGGGGAGCAAACAGG